AAGCCUCUCUCUCUCUCUCUAGCUUUUUUUCCUUCUCACCUUCUUCACCAACUAUGAACCAAAGAUUGGGAGCUUGAUGAUUUCACAGCCCCUGUGGAAUUAAUAAUUGCGCCAAAUCUUGUUCGUUCAGAUGGGAUGGUUCAGAUCGCUCCUCGUUUCACCAUUGAAGAAGCUCUGGGUUCGUCUGCACUCCCCUCAUAGAAACCGGAAAGGGAUCUACAUUUUGUAUAAAGAUGUCAAGUCUUGCCCUUGUGAAGAUGUUCAGAUGCUUUGGUCCAUUCUCGUCGAGGCCGGCAGCUCCUCCUCUCACCCGCCAUCGCCGCCGUGAACCCAGCUUUCCUCCGCUGUAAGGGAUGGCGGUUCUUGUAUAGCAGCACCACCACGCCACCAGUUUGGCGCAUUUUGUAAAAUCCCCCUGGUUUAAUUUUGUGGGAAUAUACUUAAUUUUGUGAUUUACAA